CACAGUGAGCUUACAGUGUAGAGAGGGGGAGACAGACAUUAAUAUAAAUAAAUAAAAGAGACCCUCGUCACAUCUUUUUGGGAGAAUGAGUAAAGAAACUGGGAUAAGAGUGGGAAGGAAUCCAGCAGACUUACCCUUUUUUUUUCAAUCCACAUAAGCCAGAGAGUUUUGCACUGGACCAGCUUACUUAAUUUAUUAUCAUUUGCUGAGAAUGGAACCGUUGGUAUAGCAUGAGCAAAACUGAAAAGAGAGAAGGGGAUCUGAUUGGUGCAGGGUGCACGCGUGACUCCGGUGGGAAUUUCUUUCACCACCUAUAAAGUCUUGGCUAAAAUUCUAUCCCAGUCUCCUUUAGCUUUACGGAAAGGUCCGGGGGAUGUGGGUAGAAAAGAGGCGGAUGGGAGAGGCCCAAACCGCACGCCCCCACUUCCACGGGCACCACGCGGACCGAAUUCUCGUCAGGAAACGGCCACCAAGACGACUCUUCCGAAUUGGUCUGGAGAGGGAGGCGGGAAUCCCAGGAGAAGGCAGAGCUGGAAGAGGGAAGAAAGCAUCGUGGUGGAGAGAGCGCUUAGGCACCCCUGACGAGUCAUUCAAGAGCUCCUAUAUAAAGACGACCGCUCUCCAGGGGCAGACGUCCCGAGUCGCUCGCACACGAUCGUAAACUGCGUGGCCAAAUCGACCGCGAGCGCCGUACUGACCGAGAAGUCUACCGAAUAGCUGAAGUGAAGUCUCAGAUCGCCCGAGAGGGCCCCUACAACCGACCAAGAAAUCUUAACCGGCAACCUGGGGUCGAACAGCAACACCUCAUUCUGUUACCUGUACGCCGACGAACAAGGCGGUGCCGGACACGCAAGUAGAAAAUCAAAUCUAGAGCUCUGAAAGUCCUCUGGCAGACGGUAAGACAGUGUUUGGUGGCGGCGUUAUUAUCAUUAUUUUUUGUGGUAUCUUUUAAGCGCUUACUAGGUGCCAGAUACUGUAGUAAGCACCGAGGUAGAUACAAGCUAGUCAGGUUGGAUGCAGAUCAUGUCCUUAAUGGAACUCAACAAUCUUCAUCCCCAUUUUACAGAUGAGGUAACUGAGGCACAGAGAAGUGAAGGUCACACAGCAGACAAGUGGCGGAACGGGGAUUAGAACCCAGGUCCCUCUGAGUCCCAGGCCCGUGCUCUAGCCGCUAGGCCUCACUUCUCCGGCGCGGUAUAAGCCAUUAGACCAGACUGCAGUUUUACCCCGCGAACCUUCUCUAUGACCCUCCCGUUCACUACGGCCGACUCCUCGACCAUUUCCAUCAGCAUCACUAGCGGGCCGUAACAGGUAACAAGAUAAGAUCGCAGACAACCAAGGUCCAGAACAGUCGGUCUCUUAAUGAAGCACUGUGGGUAGGCGACUUGAGAGGCACAAACUGUGUAAACUGGGUUGUCGUCAAAGUAGUGGAUUGUAGGCCGCGCUGCUUGGCCUAGUGGACAGAGCUCGGGGUGGGAGUCAGGCGACCCGUGUCCUAAUCCCGACUCUGCCUCCUGCCUGCCGUGUGACCUAGGACAAGCCAUUUAACUUCUCUGUACCUCAGUUCCCUCAUCUGUAAAAUGGGGACUCUACGUCUUAGCCUGCCUCUGCACCAAGAGCACUACUGCCAAGAAGAAUUUUUGAUAUGAACCACGCUCUUUAACUGUGUAAUAAAUCUCAAUGAGGCACACAUUCUCGGGGUGUAAUUUGCACUCUCUAAUGCCCCCAUCACUUACGGCUCAUGGAUAGGAUUUUAGUCAAAAAAUAAAAUCAUUUACAGCCCCUGCGAGUCUCCCUCUGUCUCCCCACCACCAGCUUCCCUCCCUCAAUAUUUCCCUUGAUCUU
rnacentral:lncRNA from 1 species